rnacentral:rRNA from 1 species
UACGGAGGAUCCAAGCGUUAUCCGGAUUUAUUGGGUUUAAAGGGUGCGUAGGCGGCCUGUUAAGUCAGGGGUGAAAGACGGUAGCUCAACUAUCGCAGUGCCCUUGAUACUGAUGGGCUUGAAUGUACUAGAGGUAGGUGGAAUGUGACAAGUAGCGGUGAAAUGCAUAGAUAUGUCACAGAACACCGAUUGCGAAGGCCAGCUUACUAUGGUUUUAUUGACGCUGAGGCACGAAAGCGUGGGGAUCAAACAGG